rnacentral:rRNA from 1 species
CCUACGGGUGGCAGCAGUGAGGAAUAUUGGUCAAUGGCCGCGAGCCUGAACCAGCCAAGCCGCGUGAAGGAUGAAUGCCCUACGCGUCGCAGACCUCUUUUGCCAAGGAAUAAAGUGACGCACGCGUGCCUUCUUGUAUGUACUUUAUGAAUAAGGAUCGGCUAACUCCGUGCCAGCAGCCGCGGUAAUACGGAGGAUCCGAGCGUUAUCCGGAUUUAUUGGGUUUAAAGGGGGCGUAGAGGGGUUGUUAAGUCAGUUGUGAAAGUUUGCGGCUCAACCGGACAAGUGCAAUUGAUACUGGCAGUCUUGAGUACGGUUGAGGUAGGCGGAAUGCGUGGUGUAGCGGUGAAAUGCUUAGAUAUCGCGAAGAACUCCGAUUGCGAAGGCAGCGUACUAAGCUGCCACUGACAUUGAUGCACGAAAGUGUGGGGAUCAAACAGGAUUAGAUACCCUGGUAGUC